GACAGAGGGUGCAAACGUUGUUCGGAAUUACUGGGCGUAAAGCGAGUGUAGGCGGUUUGAUAAGUCGGAUGUGAAAGCCCCGGGCUCAACCCGGGAAGUGCACUCGAUACUGUCAAGCUAGAGUACUGGAGAGGUUGGUGGAAUUCUCGGUGUAGAGGUGAAAUUCGUAGAUAUCGAGAGGAACACCGGUGGCGAAGGCGGCCAACUGGACAGAUACUGACGCUGAGACUCGAAAGCGUGGGGAGCAAACAGG
rnacentral:rRNA from 1 species